CCAUCAGUUCAUCAACGCGGACAGCAUUAGUUACCACCCUCGAAACUUCAGCAGAAUACACACUGAAAAGCGUUAGCACUCAGGUCUGCGCCUGAAAUUCAUACAGAUGGGACACCAUUCAAACGCAUAAUAACAGUACUACAAAUAGAUACGCUACUGCAUAUGMCAAACAUUACCAGUCAAACACAUGCUUAAAGUACUAUAAAUGCAUACGCUACUGCAUACGCAGAAUAUACGAGUCGUGCGUUUACUGCCCCUUCUGCAUAUGCUACUUAGUUAUUAACCAUUCACAUAAUGGGCAUAAAUAUCAGUAAUCUUACAGCCAGGCACCACAAAUUUAAGUUUAGCAGGUACCCGGCGGCGCCGUACAUCCAACCCUAAACCCUAAAUCAACAGCCAUGGUUAAGCCAAUUAUUUUUGCUGAAGUAGAUCGCUAGCCUCAGUGCUUACUACUUACUGCCAUUUGCACAAAAGGCACAAUGAGACCCUCAUAUGCUUCUUACGAUCAUUUCUUGGUGCGCACUCCAGGG
rnacentral:lncRNA from 1 species